rnacentral:rRNA from 1 species
UGCGGCGCUUACACAUGCAGUCGAACGGUGACGAUGGAGCUUGCUCUGUCUGAUCAGUGGCGAACGGGUGAGUAACACGUGAGUAACCUGCCCCCGACUCUGGAAUAACCGUGGGAAACGACGGCUAAUACCGGAUAUGAGACGCACAGGCAUCUGUGGGUCUGGAAAGAUUUAUCGGUCAGGGAUGGACUCGCGGCCUAUCAGCUUGUUGGUGGGGUAAUGGCCUACCAAGGCGACGACGGGUAGCCGGCCUGAGAGGGCGACCGGCCACACUGGGACUGAGAUACGGCCCAGACUCCUACGGGAGGCAGCAGUGGGGAAUAUUGCACAAUGGGCGCAAGCCUGAUGCAGCGACGCCGCGUGAGGGAUGAAGGCCUUCGGGUUGUAAACCUCUUUCAGCAGGGAAGAAGCGAAAGUGACGGUACCUGCAGAAGAAGCGCCGGCUAACUACGUGCCAGCAGCCGCGGUAAUACGUAGGGCGCAAGCGUUGUCCGGAAUUAUUGGGCGUAAAGAGCUCGUAGGCGGUUUGUCGCGUCUGCUGUGAAAACCUGAGGCUCAACCUCGGGCUUGCAGUGGGUACGGGCAGACUAGAGUGCGGUAGGGGUGACUGGAAUUCCUGGUGUAGCGGUGGAAUGCGCAGAUAUCAGGAGGAACACCGAUGGCGAAGGCAGGUCACUGGGCCGCAACUGACGCUGAGGAGCGAAAGCAUGGGGAGCGAACAGGAUUAGAUACCCUGGUAGUCCAUGCCGUAAACGUUGGGCACUAGGUGUGGGGCUCAUUCCACGAGUUCCGUGCCGCAGCAAACGCAUUAAGUGCCCCGCCUGGGGAGUACGGCCGCA